rnacentral:rRNA from 1 species
AUUGAACGCUGGCGGCAGGCCUAACACAUGCAAGUCGAACGGUAACAGGAAGAAGCUUGCUUCUUUGCUGACGAGUGGCGGACGGGUGAGUAAUGUCUGGGAAACUGCCUGAUGGAGGGGGAUAACUACUGGAAACGGUAGCUAAUACCGCAUAACGUCGCAAGACCAAAGAGGGGGACCUUCGGGCCUCUUGCCAUCGGAUGUGCCCAGAUGGGAUUAGCUAGUAGGUGGGGUAACGGCUCACCUAGGCGACGAUCCCUAGCUGUUCUGAGAGGAUGACCAGCCACACUGGAACUGAGACACGGUCCAGACUCCUACGGGAGGCAGCAGUGGGGAAUAUUGCACAAUGGGCGCAAGCCUGAUGCAGCCAUGCCGCGUGUAUGAAGAAGGCCUUCGGGUUGUAAAGUACUUUCAGCGGGGAGGAAGGGAGUAAAGUUAAUACCUUUGCUCAUUGACGUUACCCGCAGAAGAAGCACCGGCUAACUCCGUG